rfam:Felis catus isolate Cinnamon breed Abyssinian chromosome A1, whole genome shotgun sequence.
GCCUGGGUGGCUCAGUCGGUUGAGCAUCUGACUUCGGCUCAGGUCAUGAUCUCCCGGUUUGUGGGUUCGAGCCCCACAUCGGGCU